GACGAACGCUGGCGGCGUGCUUAACACAUGCAAGUCGAACGGAAACGCCCUGCUUUCGUGGUGUGCUCGAGUGGCGAACGGGUGAGUAACACGAGAGUAACCUGCCCUUGACUUUGGGAUAACUUCACGAAACGGGGGCUAAUACCGGAUAGGAGCUCCUGCUGCAUGGUGGGGGUUGGAAAGUUUCGGCGGUUGGGGAUGGACUCGCGGCUUAUCAGCUUGUUGGUGGGGUAGUGGCUUACCAAGCCUUUGACGGGUAGUCGGCCUGUGAGGGUGACCGGCGACAUUGGUACUGAGAUACGGCCCAGACUCCUACGGGAGGCAGCAGUGGGGAAUAUUGCACAAUGGGCGGAAGCCUGAUGCAGCAGCGCCGCGUGUGGGAUGACGGCCUUCGGGUUGUGAACCGCUUUCGCCUGUGACGAAGCGUGAGUGACGGUAAUGGGUAAAGAAGCACCGGCUAACUACGUG
rnacentral:rRNA from 1 species